CCUACGGGGGGCAGCAGUGGGGAAUAUUGGACAAUGGGCGAAAGCCUGAUCCAGCAAUGCCGCGUGAGUGAUGAAGGCCUUAGGGUUGUAAAGCUCUUUUACCCGGGAUGAUAAUGACAGUACCGGGAGAAUAAGCUCCGGCUAACUCCGUGCCAGCAGCCGCGGUAAUACGGAGGGAGCUAGCGUUAUUCGGAAUUACUGGGCGUAAAGCGCACGUAGGCGGCUUUGUAAGUAAGAGGUGAAAGCCUGGUGCUCAACACCAGAACUGCCUUUUAGACUGCAUCGCUUGAAUCCAGGAGAGGUGAGUGGAAUUCCGAGUGUAGAGGUGAAAUUCGUAGAUAUUCGGAAGAACACCAGUGGCGAAGGCGGCUCACUGGACUGGUAUUGACGCUGAGGUGCGAAAGCGUGGGGAGCAAACAGGAUUAGAUACCCGGGUAGUC
rnacentral:rRNA from 1 species